rnacentral:rRNA from 1 species
CAUUACACAAAUANGAAGCCGGACUGGGAUAGGGCCUCGCUGCCUUGCCCGUCUGGCGCCAUAUUCACCCAUGUCUUUUUGCGUACUACUUGUUUCCUUGGCGGGUCCGCCCGCCAAUUGGACCUUAUUCAAACCUUUUUUUCAGUUGCAAUCAGCGUCAGCAAAACAAAUGUAAUCAAUUACAACUUUCAACAACGGAUCUCUUGGUUCUGGCAUCGAUGAAGAACGCAGCGAAAUGCGAUAAGUAGUGUGAAUUGCAGAAUUCAGUGAAUCAUCGAAUCUUUGAACGCACAUUGCGCCCUUUGGUAUUCCAAAGGGCAUGCCUGUUCGAGCGUCAUUUGUACCCUCAAGCUUUGCUUGGUGUUGGGCGUCUUGUCUCUCUCCCGAGACUCGCCUUAAAAUCAUUGGCAGCCGGCCUACUGGUUUCGGAGCGCAGCACAUUAUUUGCGCUCUUGUCCAGCCGCGGUCGCGCGUCCAUGAAGCUUCUUUCAACCUUUUGACCUCGGAUCAGGUAGGGAUACC